AUGAUGCCCCUCCACACAGUAGCCAGUGACAGCAUUUGGCUGAUGAUGCCUCUCCACACAGUAGCCAGUGACAGCAUUUGGCUGAUGAUGCCCCUCCACACAGUAGCCAGUGACACCAUUUGGCUGAUGAUGCCCCUCCACAUAGUAGCCAGUGACAGCAUUUGGCUGAUGAUGCCCCUCCACACAGUAGCCAGUGACAGCAUUUGGCUGAUGAUGCCUCUCCACAUAGUAGCCAGUGACACCAUUUGGCUGAUGAUGCCCCUCCACAUAGUAGCCAGUGACAGCAUUUGGCUGAUGAUGCCCCUCCACACAGUAGCCAGUGACAGCAUUUGGCUGAUGAUGCCCCUCCACACAGUAGCCAGUGACAGCAUUUGGCUGAUGAUGCCUCUCCACACAGUAGCCAGUGACACCAUUUGGCUGAUGAUGCCUCUCCACACAGUAGCCAGUGACAGCAUUUGGCUGAUGAUGCCUCUCCACACAGUAGCCAGUGACACCAUUUGGCUGAUGAUGCCUCUCCACACAGUAGCCAGUGACAGCAUUUGGCUGAUGAUGCCUCUCCACACAGUAGCCAGUGACAGCAUUUGGCUGAUGAUGCCUCUCCACACAGUAGCCAGUGACAGCAUUUGGCUGAUGAUGCCUCUCCACACAGCAGCCAGUGACACCAUUUGGCUGAUGAUGCCUCUCCACACAGUAGCCAGUGACAGCAUUUGGCUGAUGAUGCCUCUCCACACAGCAGCCAGUGACAGCAUUUGGCUGAUGAUGCCUCUCCACACAGUAGCCAGUGACAGCAUUUGGCUGAUGAUGCCUCUCCACACAGCAGCCAGUGACAGCAUUUGGCUGAUGAUGCCCCUCCACAGCAGCCAGACAGCAUUUGGGCCUAUUAUAAAAAUCACCAUAGCGCUGGUGGAAUUCAUAAAAAUGAUCCUCAACAAAAUACAGUCUUUACCAAUAACAACCUACAGUAUAUCCCCAACCACAAAGGUCCACCAAGUUUGGGGUAUUUUGCUAUUGCCCCCCCAAAUAACAAAAACUAUGCAAUAG
rnacentral:lncRNA from 1 species